rnacentral:rRNA from 1 species
UCCGGUGAUUUGAGCGAUGUGGAACCACCCUUUCCCAUUCCGAACAAGGUCGUGAAACACAUCAGCGGAGACGAUACUCGGGUCGAAAGGCCCCGGGACAAUAUCUCAUUGCCGGAA